UACAGAGGUCUCAAGCGUUGUUCGGAUUACAGUUGGGCGUAAAGGGUGCGUAGGCGGCGCGGUAAAGGUCGGGUGUCGAAAUCUUGGAAGCUUAACUCCGAAACUGCAUUCGAUACUGCCGUGCUUGAGGACUGGAGAGGAGACUGGAAAUUUACGGUGUAGCGGUGAAAUGCGUAGAUAUCGUAAGGAAGACCAGUGGCGAAGGCGGGUCUCUGGACAGUUCCUGACGCUGAAGCACGAAGGCCAGGGGGAGCAAAACCGGG
rnacentral:rRNA from 1 species